rnacentral:rRNA from 1 species
GAUCCUGGCUCAGGAUGAACGCUAGCUACAGGCUUAACACAUGCAAGUCGAGGGGCAGCAGGGCAAUAGCUUGCUAUUGCUGCUGGCGACCGGCGCACGGGUGAGUAACGCGUAUCCAACCUACCCCGCGGUCAGGGACAGCCCGGCGAAAGUCGGAUUAAUACCUGAUGCAGUCAGAAGAGGGCAUCUGAUUUUGACGAAAGAUUGAUCGCCUCGGGAUGGGGAUGCGUAGGAUUAGGCAGGCGGCGGGGUAACGGCCCACCGCGCCGACGAUCCUUAGGGGUUCUGAGAGGAAGGUCCCCCACACUGGUACUGAGACACGGACCAGACUCCUACGGGAGGCAGCAGUGAGGAAUAUUGGUCAAUGGGCGCGAGCCUGAACCAGCCAAGUAGCCGUGCAGGACGACGGCCCUAUGGGUUGUAAACUGCUUUUAUGCGGGGAUAAAGUGCGGCACGUGUGCCGUUUUGUAGGUACCGCAUGAAUAAGGACCGGCUAAUUCCGUGCCAGCCGCCGC